UACAGAGGUCCCAAGCGUUGUUCGGAUUCAUUGGGCGUAAAGGGCGCGUAGGCGGCGGGGCAAGUCGGGUGUGAAAUCUCAGGGCUCAACCCUGAAACUGCACUCGAUACUGCUCUGCUUGAGGACUGGAGAGGAGACUGGAAUUCACGGUGUAGCAGUGAAAUGCGUAGAUAUCGUGAGGAAGACCAGUGGCGAAGGCGGGUCUCUGGACAGUUCCUGACGCUGAGGCGCGAAGGCCAGGGGAGCAAACGGG
rnacentral:rRNA from 1 species